UACGUAGGUGGCAAGCGUUGUCCGGAUUUAUUGGGUUUAAAGGGUGCGUAGGCGGCUUUGUAAGUCAGUGGUGAAAUAUGGCAGCUUAACUGUCAAGGUGCCAUUGAUACUGCGGAGCUUGAGUACAGAUGAGGUAGGCGGAAUUGACGGUGUAGUGGUGAAAUGCUUAGAUAUCGUCAAGAACACCUAUAGCGAAGGCAGCUUACUAGGCUGUAACUGACGCUGAGGCACGAAAGUGUGGGGAUCAAACAGG
rnacentral:rRNA from 1 species